GUGGUUUGUCGCGUUGUUCGUGAAAUCUCACGGCUUAACUGUGAGCGUGCGGGCGAUACGGGCAGACUUGAGUACUGCAGGGGAGACUGGAAUUCCUGGUGUAGCGGUGGAAUGCGCAGAUAUCAGGAGGAACACCGGUGGCGAAGGCGGGUCUCUGGGCAGUAACUGACGCUGAGGAGCGAAAGCGUGGGGAGCGAACAGGAUUAGAUACCCUGGUAGUCCACGCCGUAAACGGUGGGUACUAGGUGUGGGUUUCCUUCCUUGGGAUCCGUGCCGUAGCUAACGCAUUAAGUACCCCGCCUGGGGAGUACGGCCGCGAGGCUAAAACUCAAAGAAAUUGACGGGGGCCCGCACAAGCGGCGGAGCAUGUGGAUUAAUUCGAUGCAACGCGAAGAACCUUACCUGGGUUUGACAUGCACAGGACGCCGGCAGAGAUGUCGGUUCCCUUGUGGCCUGUGUGCAGGUGGUGCAUGGCUGUCGUCAGCUCGUGUCGUGAGAUGUUGGGUUAAGUCCCGCAACGAGCGCAACCCUUGUCUCAUGUUGCCAGCGGGUAAUGCCGGGGACUCGUGAGAGACUGCCGGGGUCAACUCGGAGGAAGGUGGGGAUGACGUCAAGUCAUCAUGCCCCUUAUGUCCAGGGCUUCACACAUGCUACGAUGGCCGGUACAAAGGGCUGCGAUGCCGCGAGGUUAAGCGAAUCCUUUUAAAGCCGGUCUCAGUUCGGAUCGGGGUCUGCAACUCGACCCCGUGAAGUCGGAGUCGCU
rnacentral:rRNA from 1 species